rnacentral:rRNA from 1 species
CCUACGGGGCGCAGCAGUGAGGAAUAUUGGUCAAUGGCCGGAAGGCUGAACCAGCCAAGCCGCGUGAAGGACGAAGGUGCCAAGCAUUGUAAACUUCUUUUGUCAAGGGACAAAAUCAGGCUCGAGAGCCUGACCGAGGGUACUUGAAGAAAAAGCAUCGGAUAACUCCCUGCCAGCAGCCGCGGUAAUACGGAGGCUGCGAGCGUUAUCCGGAUUUAUUGGGUGUAAAGGGGUCGUAGGCGGACGGUUAAGGCAGCGGUAAAAGACCGGUGCUCAACGACGGCGAGCCGUUGAAACUGGCUGUCUUGAGAUGUCGAGAGGUAUGCGGAAUGCGCAGUGUAGCGGUGAAAUGCGUAGAUAGUGCGCAGAACUCCGAUGGCGAAGGCAGCAUACCGGCGGCGAUCUGACGCUGAGGCACGAAAGCGUGGGUAUCGAACAGGAUUAGAUACCCGUGUAGUC